ACCUGGCUGGCCCAGCCGGAAGAGCACGUGACUCUUGAUCUCAGGGUUGUGAGUUCAAUCCCCAUGUUGGGUA
rnacentral:tRNA from 1 species